UACGGGGGGGGGCAAGCGUUGUUCGGAAUUACUGGGCGUAAAGGGCUCGUAGGUGGCCAACUAAGUCAGACGUGAAAUCCCCAGGCUCAACUUGGGAACUGCGUCUGAUACUGGAUGGCUUGAAUUCGGGAGAGGGAUGCAGAAUUCCAGGUGUGAGCGGUGAAAUGCGUAGAUAUCUGGAGGAAUACCGGUGGCGAAGGCGGCAUCCUGGACCGAGAUUGACGCUGAGGCGCGGAAAGCCAGGGGAGCAAAGCGGG
rnacentral:rRNA from 1 species